GUACCCUACGGGACGCAGCAGUGGGGAAUAUUGGGCAAUGGGCGCAAGCCUGACCCAGCGACGCCGCGUGAAGGAAGAAGGCUUUCGGGUUGUAAACUUCUUUUCUCAGGGACGAAGCAAGUGACGGUACCUGAGGAAUAAGCUACGGCUAACUACGUGCCAGCAGCCGCGGUAAUACGUAGGUGGCAAGCGUUAUCCGGAUUUACUGGGUGUAAAGGGCGUGUAGGCGGGAAAGCAAGUCAGAUGUGAAAACCACGGGCUCGACCUGGGGCCUGCAUUUGAAA
rnacentral:rRNA from 1 species